ensembl:snoRNA small nucleolar RNA SNORA9
UAGUUAGCAAGCCUCCAGCGUGCUUGGGUCUGCAGUGACCCUGUGCAUUCCUACAGUGCUUGCCAGAACAAUUUUGAAGUGGUUUGAGGCCUUGCCCUGCUCACUCCAGAGCAAGGUUAUAGAAAUUUCAGACAAUA